UUGACGGGCCCCGCACAAGCAGCGGAGCGUGUGGUUUAAUUCGAUGCUACACGAAGAACCUUACCAGGGUUUGACAUGCAAGUGGUAGGAAGCCGAAAGGUGACCGACCCUUCGGGGAGCUUGCACAGGUGCUGCAUGGCUGUCGUCAGCUCGUGUCGUGAGAUGUUCGGUUAAGUCCGCUAACGAGCGCAACCCUCGCUGUGUGUUAUAUGUGUCACACGGGACUGCCGGUCUUAAGCCGGAGGAAGGUGGGGAUGAUGUCAAGUCAGCAUGGCCUUUAUAUCCUGGGCUACACACACGCUACAAUGGCCAACACAAUAGGUUGCUAAGCCGCGAGGUGGCGCCAAUCCAUAAAGUUGGUCUCAGUUCAGAUUGUAGGCUGCAACCCGCCUGCAUGAAGAUGGAGUUGCUAGUAACCGCAGGUCAGCUAUACUGCGGUGAAUACGUUCCCGGGGCUU
rnacentral:rRNA from 1 species